UCAAUAGGCUACUGCACAGAGCUGGGCGGACACCAGAGGCAGGGUGAGAUACUUAAACUUCUACAAACUUCUCCCCUUAAAUUUACUCAAAACUUUGAGCUUAACCUAGAUCUAGCUGACUGAGCUCCUGCUGAGACAUGUCGGACAGCGCCUCCGAUCCGGGCUCCAUUACCAAUCCGAUGAAGUUUAAGAAUCAGGACUUCGUGUCUCUGCGCGAUGAGUGUCUCCAGUCCGGAAAACUCUUCGUGGACCCGAGCUUUACUGCUGAUCAGAACUCCAUCGGCAUGCCGGCAGAUCCAGACCCCAAAAUGGCCAUCAAGUGGCUUAGACCUAAGGAAAUCAGCAGCAACGCUGUCUUCGUGGAGGGAACCACAGGCACUACUGAUAUCUGCCAGGGCCAGCUGGGUAACUGCUGGUUGCUUGCUUCUCUCUCCUGUCUCACUAUGCACCCGACUCUGUUUGAGAAAGUGGUCCCAUCAGGACAAACCAUGGAUGCAUCCUAUGCUGGAAUCUUCCGCUUCAGGUUCUGGCAGUAUGGUGAGUGGGUGGAGGUGGUGGUGGAUGACAGGUUGCCCGUGCGAGGAGGCCGUCUGCUCUUCAGCUAUUCGCGCACUAAGAACGAGUUCUGGAGCGCCCUGGUGGAGAAGGCUUACGCCAAGUUGAUUGGCUCCUACAACAGUCUAAAGGGAGGCAAUAUUUCUGAGGGGAUGGAGGACUUCACGGGUGGCAUUGCCUACACUCGUCCUGUUUCCUCACGCACGCCUCCCGUCCUGUGGAGGACUCUGACUGCGGCGCUGUCCAGAGGCAGCCUACUAAGCUGCUUCAUACAGGCCAAAAGCGUGAAAGAGAUUGGCAGUGUGACUCCAGAGGGGCUGGUCAAAGGUCAUGCCUAUGCCAUCACUGCCACAGAUAAGGUGCACAAGAAAGCAGAGGAGGUGUUACUGGUGAGACUGAGAAACCCCUGGGGAUUUGUGGAGUUCUGUGGACCAUGGAGUGACAAGAGUAAAGUCUGGGAUGGCAUAGACAGUGCAGAGAAGACCAGAAUCAAAUUGAACAUCGAAGAAGAUGGAGAAUUUUGGAUUGGGGUGCAGGAUUUUUGCAAGCUGUUUGACACAGUGGAGUUGUGUAGUGUGGAACCUGACUCUGAUGCUGGAGAGGAAGGGAAUGCCACUGACAUCUCCUCUUGGUCCUUGACCUCCCACAAGGGAUCCUGGGUGCCCAUGUGCUCUGCAGGGGGCAGUCGCAAAAACGCACGAACUUUCUGUAAGAACCCACAGUUCCACUUGGUCCUGUCGCAGCAGGACGUGGAGGACGUGGAGCUCGACGAGGAUGAUUUGGACGGCAGGGAUGAUGACGAUGAUGGUGCUGCAGCUCAGGCAAAGAGCAGUGUGGACAAACACAAAGAGAAGAUAAAGAAAUGCACGGUACUGAUAGAGCUGCUGCAGAAAGACCGUCGACUGAAAGACAAAGUCAAUUUCCUUUAUAUUGGAUACCAUAUCUACAAAGUGCCUCCUGAGCUGCAGGACAGUACAGGAUCUUUCAGCCAGGCGUUUUUUGAUGCUAACCCACUGGUGGGCCGCUCUGGACAGUAUCGUAACGUGCGGGCUGUGUGGAGGAAGGUGCAUUUGGACCCGGGGCACUACAUCAUUGUGGUGUCCACACAGAGGCCCAACCAGCCCGGGGUUUUUUUCCUCCGCAUCUACGCCAAGAAAGGCAACACACUGGGGGUUCGUGAGAUCACCUGUCCUACUGCUUUUACCACAACUGUAAUGUCAAACCCUCCAUCACCUGAGGAUCAGAGAAUGGUGCAGAAGUGGUUUGAUGAACAAGCUGGACCGGAUGACAAAUUAAACGCGCUGGAGUUUAUGAAGCUGCUCAACACAGUGCUAGAGAAGGACUACCAUGUUCCUCUGGAGACCUGCAGACAGCUCAUUUUCACACAAGAUACUGGCGGUAGAGGCAGACUGAGUCGUGAUCAGGCUGAUAAUCUCCUCUCAACUCUGCGCAGUCUGCAGUCAAUCUUUCUUGAGCAUGAUGAGGAUUCAUCUGGAACCAUUAGUCCUUUUGAGCUCAGUCAAACUCUUAAAGCAGCAGGUAUGCAGUGUGAUAAUAACAUACUACACAUGCUUUGGGAGCGCUUCGGCUCUGGAGAGCAGCAGUUGCCUUUCUACAUCUUCGUGUCAUGUGUUACUAGACUGCAAGUCCUCUUUUCUCUGUUUGAGUCAGAAAGCAGCCUGGAGGUGAAGAGCAGAGGCAUAAACGAGAUCAGGGUCACGGUGGAUCUGGACCAUUAUAUGCCACCCUGGGCAUAAGGCAGGAGAAUUCAUCACGGAUGGGAUGCCAGUCCGUUUCAGGGCACCGUACACACUCUGGAGAACCCAGAGGAAACCCACAUGGACACAGGGAAAACAUGUGAUGCUCCACAUAGUCAGUAACCUGGUCUCAGGAUCGAACGAGGGAUGUUAGAGCUGUGAGGCGGCAAUGCUACCUGCUGCACCAUCCACCUCAAAUUUAUACCUCAGUGUAACUGCAUUGUCCUGGUCAGGGUGGUGGUGGAUCCGGAGCCUAUCCCAGGAACACUGGGCACGAGGCAGGAAUACACCCUGAAUGGACUGCCAGUCCACUAAAGAAAGACCAGGCCUUCGCUCCUUUCUAAAUGGGUUGGAGAGAAGCAAAAAGCACAGAUGACAACAGGAACCACCGGGUGAUGCUGAUGAAGAGACAAUUUGUUUUCCACAUGAUGUCUACCCCUCCGUCUUUCCCUUCCACCUGUUCCCUCUGCAUUUCUCGCUCUCUUCUCUCACAUCCUCCUCCAGGAAAAUUGGGCAAGCAUUGCAUAAGCGCUGGAGGAGUGGUGGGGUGACGGACGUGGAGAACUGAAGAGAAGGUGGGGGUUGAGGCAGAGUGGAAAUUGAUGGAAAUGCAAAGAGGAGGAUGGGAAAGCAUGCCCUUUCUCCCCCUCAUUCUCCCUCUCCGGUGCUGUCUGGCAUGCGUCCUGCUGAAAGUAGGCUAUGUUUGACGCGCUUGAGGGUAAGGCUGAGUCACAAUACGCCACUGAAUACUAAACCCACUGAUUGCAUUGGACUAAGGCUUUAGCCUGCAUCAUUGCAAUAUCUUGCAUGAUACAAUAUCAGUCCAUCAUCCUCAUCAUCUUCUCCACAAGAUGUGGUGCCAGUGACGGCAGGAUUAGCAAAGACAAUUGGAGGUGGUGUUGAAUAAAUAACUAAGUAUGCUUAAUCUAGGUAUGUUUCAUUACG